GCCCAGAUAGCUCAGUCGGUAGAGCAGGGGACUGAAAAUCCCCGUGUUGGUGGUUCGAUUCCGCCUCUGGGCACCA
rnacentral:tRNA from 1 species